ACAAGUCCGGAAUAGCAUUGCACACAAAAUCGGGAAACUCCUCUUGGUGUAUUAAAAACACCUUGUCUAGAUCCGAGUAAUUUCAUGAAAACAAAUGUUCACUCUUGCCGGUCUUGGUAGCAGUACUGACUAGUCUAUUUCAUGACCAGUCAGCAGGCUACAACAGACUCAGACUUAGAAGAAGCGAGGUAGAAAGUCAGUCAGUAAGAGCGUCUAAGUUUUCUCCCUUGUUACAAUGGCUUACAGGAUGCCCACAGCAGGCGUCAAGACUCAAGAAUCCGACAUGUUCAGGUUUAACAUGGUGUAUCCUCCACUUCCACGACCGCAGUCCCGACAGGAAUGGGUGGACCCUGGCUGCAGCCUCAGGCCGAAGUUUGUUUGCAAGGCUCAUGCCGGCAGUAGCGACACUGCUCUGCACAAACAGAGUCCCAUGCAAGCCAAAGCUCACCUCCUACACCCGGCAGGCGUCAAACUGCCUGAGUCAGACAUGUUCCGACAUUACCACGUGGUUCCCACUGAGAGAAUUCUAAGGAAAGAGAUGAGAGAAGCUUCAAGAAAGGGUACUUGCUACAACGAUGGUGUUCAGAUGUGCUGUCCAGAGAUUUCCAAAGCGGACAAGCUCAACUGCCGACCAAUAACCUACGUCUAUCAGGAGUACUAUGUUGAGCCAAGGGGCAGCGAUGACUUGAGAAGCAACUGAAUCAACUGAAUCAGAUCAUUUGCGACGUCAUUUUUCUAUAAAGGAACUGGUUUGAAAAAUGUCAUCAAGAACGGGAAUAUUUGCAGAAUCGAAGCAACAAGGACUAGAAGCUUUUCGCAAAUGGUCAGCUACUUUAACCAUACCUAACAGGCCAGAACUGUGUACACCUGUAGAAUCGCUGUCCCCUCGACCUGAAGAAACUGUAUAUAGUCCUCUCAAGAUUGGAUUGAAGCCAGACUUCAGAAAGAAAAAAGAUGACUUGAGUAAUACAAGUGUACUUAGUUCAUUGUCAAAACCUCUUAAGUCAUUUGGAUGCAAUCAAGACAGCGAGAUGGCUAUUACCCCCUACUGGACAGACUGACCAGGAAGAAAGCUAAGGUCAACUACUACGGCAAGUCAACGCCGACUAGGCACAGUCAACUCAAUAGCAGCACUCUCAUCCAGAAGUAAUCUAACCAUGAGCACUUCCGGUCUGCAGAAGAAUGUCAACCAUCUAAAGCAGCAAAGUGACUCACCCACAUCGCACGUUGACUCUAUGCACAUGGAAGCUAGAGCAAAGCUGUUUUGAUUAUUAACGAUCACAUGGAUAUUGACUUGUCAUGUGAAUUUGUUUCAGUGGGGAAUAAGAAAAAUAAAACGCUU